GUUCUCUUAUGAGGCCGGUCAUCGGAAUGGGUACAAUUUAAACCCUUUAACGAGUAUCUAUGAGAGGGCAAGUCUGGUGCCAGCAGCCGCGGUAAUUCCAGCUCUCAAAGUGCAUAGAAUUAUUGCUGCGGUUAAAAAGCUCGUAGUUGGAUCUGUGCCAUAGGACGUGGUCCACCUUCGGGUGCGUACUACGCUCCUAGGCUUUUUGCUGGUUUUCCCGUCGUAGCCUUCACUGGUUGCGGCGGGUGGCUGGCGAGUUUACUUUGAGAAAAUCAGAGUGCUCAAUACAGGCGUAUCGCUUGAAUGAUUGUGCAUGGAAUAAUAGAAAAGGAUUUCGGUCCUCUUUUAUUGGUUUUGUGGACUGAGAUAAUGGUUAACAGGGACAAACGGGGGCAUUCGUAUCUCUGCGUGAGAGGUGAAAUUCUUGGACCGUAGAGAGACGCCCUACUGCGAAAGCAUUUGCCAAGAAUGUCUUCAUUAAUCAAGAACGAAAGUCAGAGGUUCGAAGGCGAUCAGAUACCGCCCUAGUUCUGACCGUAAACGAUGCCAACUAGCGAUCCGCCGGUGGAUUUUUAGCCCUGGUGGGUAGCUUCCCGGAAACGAAAGUCUUCCGGUUCCGGGGGAAGUAUGGUUGCAAAGCUGAAACUUAAAGGAAUUGACGGAAGGGCACCACCAGGAGUGGAGCCUGCGGCUUAAUUUGACCCAACACGGGGAAACUCACCCGGCCCGGACACCGUAAGGAUUGACAGAUUGAUAGCUCUUUCAUGAUUCGGUGGUUGGUGGUGCAUGGCCGUUCUUAGUUCGUGGAUCGAUUUGUCUGGUUUAUUCCGAUAACGAGCGAGACUCUAGCCUACUAAAUAGUAACGAGAUUAUCAAUGUCUCAGUUGCUUCUUAGAGGGAUUUUCGGUGUUUAGCCGCACGAGAUUGAGCAAUAACAGGUCUGUGAUGCCCUUAGAUGUCCGGGGCUGCACGCGCGCUACACUGGCGAAAUCAGCGUGCUGUAUCCAUUCUCGAAAGGGAUUGGUAAACCCAUGAAAAUUUGCCGUGCUUGGGAUCGGAAAUUGCAAUUAUUUUCCGUGAACGAGGAAUUCCAAGUAAGUGCGAGUCAUCAACUCGCUCUGAUUACGUCCCUGCCCUUUGUACACACCGCCCGUCGCUGCCCGGGACUGAGCCAUUUCGAGAAGAUCAGGGACUGGUGGACUGUGGCCUUUUCGGAGGUCCGGUUCGCUGGAAACUGAUUUGAUCGCAGUGGCUUGAACCGGGCAAAAGUCGU
rnacentral:rRNA from 1 species